AUGAGGGGUAUUGUUAAACUGAUGAGGGGUAGAGUUAAAUUGAUGAGGGGCAGAGUUAAAUUUAAGAGGGGUAGUGUUAAACUGAUGGGGGGUAGUGUUAAACUGACGAGGGGUAGAGUUAAAUUGAUAGGGAGUAGGGUUAAAUUGAUGGGGAGUAGGGUUAAACUGUUUGGGAGUAGGGUUAAAUUGAUGGGGAGUAGUGUUAAAGUGAUGGGGAGUAGGGUUAAACUGAUGAGGGGUAGAGAUAAAUUGAUGGGGAGUAGGGUUAAACUGAUGGGGAGUAGGGUUAAACUGAUGAGGGGUAUUGUUAAACAGAUGAGGGGUAGUUUUAAACUGAUGAGGGGUAGAGUUAAAUUGAUGAGGGGUAGUGUUAAAGUUAUGAGGGGUAGAGUUAAACUGAUGGGGGGUAGUGUUAAACUGAUGAAGGGUAGAGUUAAGAUUAAGAGGGGUAGAGUUAAAUUGAUGAGGGGUAGUGUUAAAGUUAUGAGGGGUAGAGUUAAACUGAUGGGGAGUAGGGUUAAACUGAUGGGGAGUAGGGUUAAACUGAUGGGGACUUUGGUUAAAUUGAUGGGGAGUAGGGUUAAACUGAUGGGAGGUAGGGUUAAACUGAUUGGGAGUAGGGUUAAACUGAUGGGGAGUAGGGUUAAACUGAUCCGGAGUAGGGUUAAAGUGUUGAGGAGUAGUAUUAAACUGAUGAGGGCUAGUGUUAAACUGAUGAUGGGUAGUGUUAGACUGAUGAGGGGUAGUGUUAAACUGAUGAGGACUAGUGUUAAACUGAUGAGGACUAGUUUUAAACUGAUGAGGGGUAUUGUUAAACUGAUGAGGGGUAGAGUUAAAUUGAUGAGGGGUAUUGUUAAACUGAUGAGGGGUAGAGUUAAAUUGAUGAGGGGCAGAGUUAAAUUUAAGAGGGGUAGUGUUAAACUGAUGGGGGGUAGUGUUAAACUGACGAGGGGUAGAGUUAAAUUGAUAGGGAGUAGGGUUAAAUUGAUGGGGAGUAGGGUUAAACU
rnacentral:lncRNA from 13 species